rnacentral:rRNA from 1 species
GUAGUCCACGCUGUAAACGAUGGGUACUAGGCUUCGUGGGAGUUGACCCCUGCGGAGCCGGAGCUAACGCAAUAAGUACCCCGCCUGGGAAGUACGGUCGCAAGACUAAAACUCAAAGGAAUUGACGGGAGCCCGCACAAGCGGUGGAUUAUGUGGUUUAAUUCGAAGCAACGCGCAGAACCUUACCUAGGUUUGACAUCCUUUGACAACUAGAGAGAUCUAGCUUUUGUAGCAAUACAACAAAGUGACAGGUGCUGCAUGGCUGUCGUCAGCUCGUGUGGUGGCAUGUCGGGUUAAGUCCCUCAACGAGCGCAACCCCUAUCUUUAGUUGCCAGCAUUAAGUUGGGCACUCUAGAGAGACUGCCGUGGUUAACACGGA